AGCAGCCGCGGUAAUUCCAGCUCCAAUAGCGUAUAUUAAAGUUGUUGCAGUUAAAAAGCUCGUAGUUGAAUUUCGGGAUCAGUACGCUGGUCAUGCCUUUGGUAUGUACUGGUGUUACUGGUUCCUACCUUCUGACGAACCGUCAUGUCAUUCAUUUGGUGUGGCGGGGAAUCAGGACUGUUACUUUGAAAAAUUAGAGUGUUUAAAGCAGGCUCGCGCUUGAAUACAUUAGCAUGGAAUAAUGAAAUAGGACGUUUGAUCCUAUUUUGUUGGUUUCUAGGAUUGACGUAAUGAUUAAUAGGGAUAGUUGGGGGCAUUAGUAUUCAAUUGUCAGAGGUGAAAUUCUUGGAUUUAUUGAAGACUAACUACUGCGAAAGCAUUUGCCAAGGAUGUUUUCAUUAAUCAAGAACGAAAGUUAGGGGAUCGAAGACGAUCAGAUACCGUCGUAGU
rnacentral:rRNA from 1 species